AUGAGAGCAGCGGUAGCUCGCUCGCUACGCCAGCUUCGCCGUUUGGCGCGGCACCAUGCAGAGGGGCGCGCACCAAUAAACAGACUGACCAGGCAGCAGAACGUGCUCAUCUUGCGUGGUUCCGCAUCCCGUUCACUGUGCACCGUGCGCCAUGAUGAUGAACAUGGCAGAUUUGUGAGUCCAGCUGUGGAGUCACUGAGGAACAUGUUCUCCACUGCCGCGGCUGAUUCGAUUAAAGAUGUUCCACGAGGUGGUCCCAUGGUGGAAUAUGAGAAGAGAAUUGCAUCAGGAGAUCUUGUAGAUGGUGAUAGCUUUCAGGUUGACACGAUUCAGCAAUUACAAAGGCUUUAUGAGGAUCUUGUAGAGAAUGAAGAAGCCUGCCAGCUCGAUAGAUAUCAGUCAUCUGAGAAAUCUGGAAGGAGAAGGUGGCUAUGGUCUCGCCUCAUUGCUCAGCCUUCUACCCAAUCACCAGUAAAGGGAUUGUAUCUAUAUGGAGGGGUCGGUACAGGGAAGACGAUGCUUAUGGACCUGUUCUAUGAGCAACUGCCAGCUAAUUGGAGGAAAAAGAGAAUUCACUUUCACGAUUUCAUGUUGAAUGUUCAUAGUCGCCUGCAGAUGCAUAAAGGUGUUUCAGAUCCCCUUGAUAUGGUAGCAGCUGAGAUUUCAGAUGAAGCCAUAAUAUUAUGUCUUGACGAGUUUAUGGUAACUGAUGUUGCUGAUGCUAUGAUAUUGAACCGUCUGUUCAGACAUCUGUUCAGCAAAGGCGUUGUUCUAGUUUCGACUUCUAAUCGUGCUCCCGAUCAGCUAUACGAAGGUGGCUUGCAGCGAAACCUUUUCUUACCGUUCAUUGACACCUUGAAAGAAAGGUGCAUUUCGCACCCCAUUGGCUCUGCAGUAGACUACCGUCAACUGGGUUCAGCUGGAGAAGGUUUCUAUUUUAUUGGAAGCGAAUGCAGUACAGUUCUUAAACAGAAAUUCCAAUCUUUGAUUGGAGAUGAGGAACCUACUCCUCAAACAGUCGAAGUCGUUAUGGGACGACAUUUGGAGGUCUUGGAAGUCCCACUGGGAGCAAAUGGAUGUGCAUAUUUCCAGUUUGAAGAUCUUUGUGACAGACCUAUAGGCGCAGCAGACUAUUUCGGGCUAUUUAAGAAGUUUCACACCCUUGCAGUUGAAGGUGUCCCUAAGUUUGGAUAUCAUAACAGAACAGCAGCAUAUCGGUUUGUCACAUUGGUUGAUGUUAUGUAUGAGAACAAGGGGAGGCUAUUAUGCACAGCCGAGGCCGAGCCAAUAGAGCUAUUCGAGAAUGUCGUGACGGUCGCUGAAGCACAAAAAAGUUCACCUAGAUCUUCACGCUCGCAGAAAAGUGACGAUCCCGAUCUCUGCGUGGACAAUGAGCUAGGAUUCGCCAAAGAUCGUACGAUUAGCAGGUUGACAGAGCUCAACAGCAGAGAGUACUUGGAGGACUUUGAAGCAAAAUGGCAACAUCCCCUGCAUGCUGUAGAUAAUGGCGGCGAUGUCGUACUUGCAUAA
rnacentral:rRNA from 1 species